UUAAAAUCCCCACGGCAUCAAAACGUCAAAGUUUGAACCAGAAUUCAAGUCCCAGCUUAUUGAGAGGGGGAGUCUUCGAAAGGGGGAGUCAAGAUUCUGGAUCAACAGUCAAAGGGGAGAUUGAAGAUUGAAGAUUAGAGUUUGAAGAGAGCUUUUACAAAGUCAAGACAAAUUGAAAAGAGACAAAGACUGAAGACUCGAUGCUGAAGACUUCGUCAACAUCCAGUGGGGAGUCUGAUAGAUUAGGGUUGGAAAUCAAGAAAGUGGGUUAUUUCAUGUAAUUCCGCUUGAAAUGACAACAUGUCAUUUCAAGCGAAAUCAUAAGAAUUGUAAUUCCGCUCGAAGUCGUUACUUGGUGAUUUCGCUUGAACAUGUUGGAGCGAAAUCAGGUCUCGCUUGAAUCUGUCAUGUCAGUUCAAGCGGAAUUAGGAGUAUUAUAAAUAGGCAUAGUGUGCGUCAUUUGGAGCGGAAUAUGACCAUUUGUUCUGAGUCGAGGUGCUACCGGAUUUUUGUCAAAAAUCUUUGUAAAGCUCAGAAAUUGUUAAUAGAAAAGAAUUGAAAAGGAAACAAGCUGUUUGACAUUGUUUGCAUUGAUUCCGCCUUUGUAAAUGAUGAUGA
rnacentral:lncRNA from 1 species